CAGGCGGUGGAGAACUACUGAGGACUUCUGAGCAGAGAGGUUGGUGGAAGAGGAAGCACCAAAAAUCCAUCUCAUCACCUAGAGAGCAUUGUACUGGCAGAACUGUCUAAAGUGACUAUUUUGGAACUCUGGGAUCAAUUUGAAUACUUGCAGCUUCCAAAGGAAAGGUGGGUAAUCGUGCCUCCAUAAAACAAGAUGGAACCAAAGUUAGGGGUACCUGAUGGGCAAUCACAUCUCCAUACCACAGGACACACCCCUUGGAUGCAUCCUCAAGAACUGGGAAAAGUUUGACCCACAAGCUCUAAAAAGGAAAAGGCUAAUUUUUUUUGUCACACAGCCUGGUUCUGAUAUGGACUUGGGGACCAGCAAUCUUGGCCAGAAAAUGGAAGUAUUAAUUUUAAUACUAUCCAUCAACUAGAUUCGUUUUGCUGCCAGCAGGGAAAAUGGACAGAAAUCCCUUAUGCACAGGCUUUCAUGGCCGUAAGAGACAACCCUGACCUUUGUUGGGCUUGUAAAAUGGACCCAGUGAUGAUAGCAGCCAUCACCAGGCAACCUCCUCCAGUAGAUUUGGGAGACCCUUUAUCAGAUUUGCACAGGGCUCAAGCCCCAGAGGAACCAAAGGUGGAAUUUAGUUCAAACAUUGCCUCUUUUAUUCCCAUUAUAUCCAAGUCUCCCAGUCCCAUAGCCUUCCCCUCCCUACCCAGGGCCACCCUCUGGAUACCACCCCCUUAAGUUAUCCCCACUUCAGGAGGUUAGCAGCCCUAUUGGGUCAACUAGAGUCCAGACUCCAUUCACUAUGUAAGACCUGAGCCAGAUUAAAAUGGAGCUAUGGAAGUUUAUGGAAAACCCUGACUAAUGCAUUGAAGGGUUCCAUUAACUAGGCUUAACAUUUGAACUUACUUGGGAGGACUUCACAGUCACACUAGGCCAAACUCUAAGGGAGAACAUGACUCCAUUAUGGAGGCAGCCCAGCAAUUUGCAAGUGCAAUGCACAUGACUGACCCUGGUGGCUACCUUGUGAGGGCCACUGCCCUUCCCCAGGUUGGCCCCCAACUGGGAAUACAAUACCCAGGGGGGUAUAUGGGCAGUGAACCACAUCCCCAUAAUGGGGAUGAAGGAUAGCAGAGGAAAGCCUGUAAACUACAAUAAAUUGGCCUUAAUAGAUCAAGA
rnacentral:lncRNA from 1 species